rnacentral:hammerhead_ribozyme from 1 species
AUCCAGCUGACGAAUCCCAAGUAAACCGAAACGUGCGUCCUGGAU